UCUCCCCUUGAACACUGAGCAGAAGGCUGGGGCUGAGGGAGGCAGAGAAGAGGGGAAGGCAGGCUGGAGAAGAGGCUGGGAGAGGGAGAACUGAGGCUGGGUUAGGAACUCCAAAGCUGGGGGGAUAAGGAAGAUGGCAGGCCAGGGAAGAAUAGAAAAAGUGGGAAAGAGGAAGGGCAGGGUGGAACCCAUCUAAGGUGAGAGAAAGCUGAGGGAGAUGGAGGCUGAUUAGAGGUUCAGCUAUGACACCCUUGUGAUGAAAGUGCUGUAGCUGGAAGAGGAAUGCUAAGCUAAAUAUAGGAGUAGAAUGGCAAGUAGAAAAAAUUGUUGAUAGCGAUGGAAAUGUAAGAAGUGGAGGGAAGAUUCUGACUAGAGUGAUAGGUGUGAAAAACAAUGUGAAACAUUUCUUACCAGCACUGAUAUGAAAGAAGUACUGGACAUCUAUUUAAGCUGAGGGACCAGAUACAGGAGUAGGUUAGGCUUAGUCUGGAUAAAGAAAAGAUAAACAACAAGGGAGACCACUAAAGAUCAAAACAGAGGCAGGAAAAACAGAGAAAAGCAACGUAAUAUCAGCGAGGACUCCAUCUUUCUUUACCUGCUAUGGAUGUAAAGCUGAUUUUUUAACAGCAGCUGACGUCCAAUCAGACAUCAGGAUCACUGCCCUUGUCAUAAUGACAACCAUGACAUCAUGACAAGGGCUAGCGGAGAGAAGACAGCGGAGCUUCAGACAGAGAGCGGGGCUGCGCAGGGACUGUUCUCCGACCACAACGCACCGGCUGUCGGAUCGAGCCCGCGCGGAUUACCGGGGCUACGGAGGGUGGCAACACGCAGUACGCGCUGAAAGAUGGGCGCCAGCGACCGGAGCUCUACCCCGGACCGACUGAAGCUGCUUCAUCGGCUGAAGCGAGAGGAAGAUAUGAAGGAGGUUGACCGAAAUGGCUUCUUGUUUAAUUUCUGCCAAUCAAGAAGAGAGGAGGACUACUCCCAAACAGGCAUGUCUGCGGAUGGUCCCCAUCAAGCCAAAGUUUCCUAAAAAGUGGGGAAGAUUUUUCCACCAUAAUACCCAACAUCCCCAGAUAAACUUCCAGAGAUCCACAGAAGCUUGUUGGUCCCCUGUUGAGAUAAUGGCCAUAAUUUGCUUUGGUGCCUGCAGCCAUACCACAUGUCGUAUCCUCCCAGUAAAAUGGAAAUACGGGCGGUCAGAAGUGUUAAUCUGAGCUAUUCAGAUAGUUCACAUGCAAAAAGUCAAAUAUGUUGUAGGUGAUGCUGAUGAUGUAACAUCAAUCCAGCAGAAGAGAAGAGGAAGAUGCAGACAUUUCACACACACAUAGACACACAUAUCAGAGUAAAUGGAAGUGCAAUGUCAGGGGUGGGAACCCUUUCCAGGUGAAUAACACCUGAUUAUACUGGAUCGAGUUAAACUGGAAGGACAUGGAUAGAAGUGAAAAUGAUGCUCCAGCUGGAAAACUCUCAUAAAAAAGACUAAAUAACCUUGAAAUAAUGCAGAUAAAAACAUGCUUUGGAAUAUUUAUUUUUGCAGGUUUAGCAGUAUGUGGUGUUUACAUUUACAUUAUAUUAUGUGAAAUAAUUCUCUUGUGUGCAUUUUGUCAUUAUUUUCUUAAGUUCACGUAUCUCUUCUUUCACUUUCCACUUAAUUUAUGACAGAGUUGUGUAUUUAAAUGUCACUUAAUUAUGUCCAUUUUACUGAAAAACAUAACUCAGAUCUAUUUUGAACUAUUUGGUUUUGUUUGUUCUUCAAGAUCAGAAAAAAAAAUUACACCCCUUUUCCUCCCCUAGUCUCAGUCUUUGAACUGUUGUGGGGAUUGAGGAUAAACACUUUCAAGGAUAACUGUUCUAUAAUUGCUCUGUGAUUCUUUUUUUAUACUCUUAUUCACACUGAAGGAAUACAAAUAAAUUAUGUUUUUCUGUGGCCAAUUAUGUUAUCCAUAAACCUGUUAUUAAGGCCGUACUUUACAUUUAACCCGUUUUCCCCUUAGUUGUAGAUCACUGUUAUCAUCCCACCAAGACAUGAAAUAAAAAAAAUAGUUUUUCCCCCUUUUUCUCCCAAGAUAAACAUCCUUUGUUGUGUAUUUGUGCAGUAUGUUAUUUAUAAUGUGUUUCCUGAAUCAUUUUCUUUCAUCAACUUCUUUUGAUUUUCCUGAGAUAUGAUCAACUAAUGUGUUGGUAUUUUAAAUCUUGACAAUAUUAAUUAACUAAUUUGUUUCUGUAUCAUUAAACAACAAGAACCGAUGAGGACUGUUAAAUCAUAGCACAACACUUUUAAAGUUUUCAACAUGCUUCAGGUGGUUUGGAAUCAUUUCAUUGUCCCAUGGAGAAGAGAUAAGUUCAAAUAUUGACUCUAUUCUUUUUGUAUUUGUUUCUUUUGUUUUUGUUGUUUUCUUUUAUAGCUCGGUUAGCUAAGCAGUUGUUCCUCAGCUGAAGGAUUAGUGGUUCAAUCUCUGGUCCCGGCAUCUCUUCACCACUGAGGCAUUGUUAUAGUGUUAUAGAUUUUUUUUCUUUUUUGUCCAGAGAAAUUCACAUUUCUUACUUUCAAUAUUUGUUACGUAUAACCUUUGUAAAUCAGCUGGUGUUCCCCUAUGAUCAAAUGCUUAUUGAUCUUCUAAUACAGGCUACUACAUAAUAAACAUCAUCCACAUUUGAUAUAUCUCUUUAGAUUUAUUAAAUGGAAUAGAUUUAUUAAAAUGGGAUGCACACAUUAAAAACUUCCCAUAGCGUUUAUCCUUUUUUUUUCAUGUCAUCAGUACAAAGAUUCAAUAAUUUUUAAACACAUUUAAAUGAACUAAAUUGUGCUCCUGGCUACUCGCAGCAGUGAGUGUAAUUGAUCACAUAGCUGUGGUCAUAACUCACAUUCGUACGGGGAAACUAACACCCAGAUCAUGUAUGUGUGUGUCUGUGUGAGUCAUUUUAGACUCUUUAUGUUGCUUCCUUCCCCUUCUGUCUCUUUUCACCUUCCCCAUCCUCGAUGCCUCGGGGGAUGAAACUGACUCAGUUACAUCAGACCAAACAACCCCCCCGCCUGUCUUUAGCCCUCUCACAUAUGCACACACACAUUUGUUUGUCCACACUCUAGAACCACAUUAGUGUGUUUGACCUUAUUGAUUAAUUGUUUUCUAUUGAUACAAAUCAGGAUGAUCCAUCAUUGAUGUCUCUGUUUACGGGCAGAGAUGAGUUGAUAGUGAUGGAUAACAGAUUAAUCAGUAAACACUGUGAACUAAGAGCACGGGCACACACACACACACACACAGACAUGAACACAGUGUUUUGGUGGAUUUCAGAUUUAGACUAAAGCUAUUAGUUCACAGCUUGUUUCUGCUUUAAAACAAAUUUCAAAGGUUCAUUUUGAUGUAAAAACAAAAGAAAAAUGUAAAGAGAGUAUGUAAAAACAAACAAAAAAGAACAGAUUACCUGUAAACCAAAGUGUAGAGAAACACACCAACUUACAUAAAUAAACAGAUAUUAAUGUUACGUAUUGUUUAUAUAGGAUCCCUUACAGAGUUGAAUGAUGUUAGACUGUCUCAGCAUUACAACUGGGAGGUGAACAUACAUGAAAUUCUAGUAUUUGCCAAAGAAGUCCACAAGAAUGAUUUUUCUAUCCCAAGUACACGCGUGCAAUUUUGUUCCUGUCAACCCCAUCACACCCCUUCACUUCCACCCACCCGUCUUUUUUAGAGAUUCAUGUUUAUUAAUUCAUGUUAAUUAAUUUUAUUAAUUAAUAUUUUUUAAGUUAGGUAUUGGAAAGAGUAAAUGAAAAUUUGUUGAUACUUGAUUAAUUUAGCAAAAUAAGCACAUUAUGCUUAAUUGAGGCAUAUUUGUCCUUUUAUUUAAAAGUUGAUGUGACUGAUAAGGUCACAGGAUCAGCUUUUCAAAUUUUGUUCUGAUGUAGAAAAUGAAGAUCCUAGCUGUUUAUAGAAAAUAAACAUAACCAAUACUCACUCUUUAAUUAAAACUGUCAAAAUAAAAAUAAAAAAUUCUGAUGA